GGUUCCAUGAUGUAAUGGUAAGCACUCAAUACUCUGAAUCUUCCGAUCCGAGUUCAAAUCUCGGUGGAACAU
rnacentral:tRNA from 1 species